rnacentral:rRNA from 1 species
UACGUAGGGGGCUAGCGUUGUCCGGAUUUAUUGGGCGUAAAGAGCGUGUAGGCGGCCAGGUAGGUCUGCUGUGAAAACUCGAGGCUUAACCUCGAGAUGUCGGCGGAAACCAUCUGGCUAGAGUCCGGAAGAGGAGAGUGGAAUUCCUGGUGUAGCGGUGAAAUGCGCAGAUAUCAGGAAGAACACCGGUGGCGAAGGCGGCCAACUGGACGGUGACUGACACUGAGACGCGAAAGCGUGGGGAGCAAACAGG